GGACCUCUUGAUGCUCUCGGUGGUGGUGACAGAGGAGGCCACCAUGCUGAAGGUUACCACCAGGAUGCCCAAGAGCACCUGGGCCAGCCCCAAUGUGAGCAGGGCCUGCAGCCAGGGUCGGUGGAGGCGGAGGUUCCUGGGAUGAGAGUUCUCAGCAGAAGUGGCUGCCCAUCAAUAAUGGAAAGGGGCUGGGGCUUCCUGAUGUCUCCAGGCCUAUCACCCUGCCCCGCCCUGCCCAGUUUGCCAUGAUCAACUUCUCUGGCAAUGUACUUUGCAGUGCCUCCACUCCAGUACACCACUCCACACUCUUUCAAAUGGCAUAAUCUCCAGGAAAUGGCCCUGACUGUCCUGGAACUCGCUUUGUAGGCUGGCCUCAAACUCAGAAAUCCACCUGCUUCUGCCUCCUGAGUGCUGGAUUAAAAGUGUGUGCCACCACUGCCCAGCUUCCCUUGUUCUUUCAACCAUUGUGACAUAGCCUUCCCUAGGAAGAUCCUUUUCAGCCUUUUCCUAGCUACAACUGUCUCUACCCUCUAGCCAAGGAAUUUCCUGACUUGUUAAAUUAGCCUCUGAGAAAGCCCACAUGCCCCUUUCAUGGACAAUUCCUACCCCAUAACUGAGUUGCAAAAAGUGGGAGGACGAGGUGAGGAUGGCAGCUCACACACCUGAAGCCCCACCCUGGGAUGCCAAUGGCCUGGAGGACAAAGAACACAUCCUGGACGAAGAAAAUGAAGAAAAAAACGAAGAAAUUGAAUGAACUAUCACUCCUGCAAAGACAAAAGAAAUGAAGUGUGGGAGAAUUAGAAAAUCAGGAUUGGAGGAGGAGCAGCGGGACCACCGCAGACCUUCUUUCACCCCUGUCACUUACCGGAAAGCCUUAUACAUCGGGCGGUACCAGCAAACAAAGGAGCAGGGGGUGAAAAGGAGGAGCCAGAGCAGAGACAGCCCAAAGCCUGAGCCACUGCUGGUGUCCACACAGAACCUGGCCAGGCAGGCGAGGAAGUUCAGGAGAAGAGCCACAGUGCUGCCUGAGGGGCAGAGGGACAGGGUGAAGAGACCUUCUGGACUGUGAUGAAGCAAGUGUCAUAAAUACCUGCCCAAUGGGCCUCACCAAAUGUGGCAGCAGAGGGAAAGGACGGUCCCCUUGCCCUGGGGAUCAAUCCCACAGAUCAGGCAUGAUCUCCUUGCAAAAACUUUGCAAGAAUUCAUAAUACAUUUAAGCAUGGUCACAGAGGGAAAGGGAGGGCUGAGAACACACAUACAAUAAGAGAGUCAGUCCUGAAGAAAUGGUAAGUAUAUUGCUCAGUGUUCUGGGGCACUUACUGUCUCCCCGAAAGACUUCUCACACUUACACAUCCAGAGGUAGUACAUGGUGGACACUGUCUUCUGAAAUUCUUGGGGAAUCUCCAUGGAGAUGUCCUGGAAAAA